UAUGCUACCUCUGGUGUAAGAAAGAAAGGGAAAGAAGAAAAUAUGCAUGUAUCUAGUUAUUCUUGCAAGAAAAAAAAACCACAGCAAAGUGAACCAAAACUAAUGAAAUGGUGGGUGAGGACAGGAAGUUUUAAAUUCCAGAGCCAUUUUAAUGUUUUACAUUAUCGGAAAGAUAAAAUUAAAUGUUAACAAAGAAGGAGACGAAUUGAAAAGGAAUGAAACCAGAGCUAUGAGCAUUUUAAAUGAAGACAUGUUGGUGAGUGCAGACUGGGCAAAAGGGCCGAGGUCCACACAGGAGUGAGGACCGCAGUGGGGGACCCAGCCAGCUGGCAGGGAAGCUCAAGUCCUCACUGACAUUGACUGUCAAGGCCACUGUCCUUGGUGCUGCCACACAGCUGGAUGCAAUCUUGGGGCCUCCCACCCCCAAAUCAAAUCGCGCUGUCAGAAAGCCAGGCUCGGCUCGGCCCCCUCUGCGUCCCCCUGCAGCAGCCCGGGGCCCCUCGGGGUCAGGCCACGGUUCAGAGGAGCUCCGGGGAGCAGCCCCUGCCUCCUCCCUUCCGCAGGCCUUAGCCCAGCAGAUUCCUCAGAGCAAAGAUAAGCUCCCGGCUCAGCCCAAGAACACUGAUGAAAUGGUGGGUGCUCCAGCAGCCAGCUUAAGCCAUAAUGCAUGGAAAUCUGCAAGGAUUGUGGAGCAGAAAGACAGAGGGAGCUUGCACACCUGAUUAUAUGUUGGCUUCUUCAUAACUGGCCUCAAUCAUCUCUACAUCUAGAGUCUUUUAAAAAUGUGAAUGAGUAUUAAAAGUCUGUCUUCUUUAA